AUUGAACGCUGGCGGCAGGCUUAACACAUGCAAGUCGAGCGGGGUGAUGGUGCUUGCACUAUCACUUAGCGGCGGACGGGUGAGUAAUGCUUAGGAAUCUGCCUAUUAGUGGGGGACAACAUCUCGAAAGGGAUGCUAAUACCGCAUACGUCCUACGGGAGAAAGCAGGGGAUCACUUGUGACCUUGCGCUAAUAGAUGAGCCUAAGUCGGAUUAGCUAGUUGGUGGGGUAAAGGCCUACCAAGGCGACGAUCUGUAGCGGGUCUGAGAGGAUGAUCCGCCACACUGGGACUGGGACCCGGCCCAGACUCCUACGGGAGGCAGCAGUGGGGAAUAUUGGACAAUGGGGGGAACCCUGAUCCAGCCAUGCCGCGUGUGUGAAGAAGGCCUUAUGGUUGUAAAGCACUUUAAGCGAGGAGGAGGCUCUUUUGGUUAAUACCCAAGAUGAGUGGACGUUACUUGCAGAAUAAGCACCGGCUAACUCUGUGCCAGCAGCCGCCGUAA
rnacentral:rRNA from 1 species